AACAAGAUACAUAGCUCUCUAUUUGUCUUCUUCUCUCAAGCUGCAGAUAUGUUUCACUUUCAAUCAAUAUUGCCCAUAUCUUUAUCUACUUUUCCUUCAUUUUUUCCUAGGUUUGUUUUGGGUUCUCUGCAUUCUUCUUAGAUCUUUUUCUCUUUUUUCUUCUUUUUCCCUUUAGUAUUAUUUUGGUAAUUGUGAAGCUCAAUGGUUUUUGCAGGUUCUCUUUUCUUUUUGUAUUCUUUUGGGUAAUGGUGAAGCUCAAUGAUUUUUGCAGGUUCUCUUCUCACGUUGAGCACCAAAGAGAUAAAUUGUUCUGUAUUGGGAGUGAAAUUCUGAAGAGAAAUCAGUAAGCAAGACGAAAGAGAGGAAAAACCGAGAAUGAAGAAAGAUGAGCAGACUCGGGGCAUCAGGUAAGCGCUAAGAUUAUGCGGUGGGAAAAGGAUGCGGUGGCUGAGAAGAAAUCAAGAAAGCUACACGUAGUAUUUGUGGAUGGGAAAAAAUCCAGGUAUAAAAGUUGAUGCUAAAUGAUUGAAUUACCCUCAAGCUUUUUAAAAAUGACACUAAGCAGACAUGUCGAAACAUGUUGCUCUUCUAUUAUAUUGAAGAAAUGAAGCUAUUGCUCUAUGAAAAUAUCAAAAUAAGGUUGACUAUAAAGAGUUUUGCAGAUAUUAAAAGAAUAAGUGUGAUUAUUUUGAGAUUAUGAUGUUUUGAUGUACGUCGACUCAUUGAGAUCUAUAAUUCUACAACUACUAAAUUCUAUGAGAUAUUCACUGCACUUUCAUUAAUGCCCAAAGUAACAUCACAACUUUUUUAGGUUGUGAUCAAUUUUGAAAAUAUUUCUUAACUAAAACCAAGAGGUUUGGUAUAGAAAACAAAUAAGUUUUUCCGAUACCAAAUUGCUAUAAUUUAGAGGAAAAUAAAUCAAUUUUAACUUCAUUUUCAGCAAUCGCACAUUUUUUUCUCCUAAAUGUAAUUUAAUUAGUUCGACCAUUUAUUCAUGAAAAACUACUUACCAUAAUUAGAAUCUUAAUUUGAACAUGUUUGUUUUCCAAAAAGAUUUGAAACAAAAGAAAAUUAAUACUUGGCCUUGUCUAAUUUGUUGAAUCGGGCUCUCUGUGUUGUGCAACAUGGGCCUAAAAGUUUUAAGGAUUUUUAUUGGGCUUUUUUCUCUUUUAGCAGUAAAAAUUUUUAGCACAUUUUAUUGGGCUUAAUUUGUACCCACUUUUUAAACAACUUCAGCCUUAUUUCUCCUUCUCCUUCUCCUUCUUCUUCUUCUUCUUCUUCUUCUUCUUCUUCUUCUUCUUCUUCUUCUUCUGCUGCUGCUGCUGUUGGUGUUGCUAUGAAACUUCAGUUCAUGGGAUGAUUGUCAUAAGUAUAUUUAUCAGAUUAUUUAAAAAUAAAUUAUAAAUAAUGACGUAAGUUAGUAGACUAUAAUUUGUGAAUAUUUUCACGUACGGGAAGUUUAAUGUCAUGCAUAGUGAUUCUUUUCAUGAUAAUUCUGUUCUUUACACGUUUAUUAUUUCCAAAAUUUAUGAUUUGGAUAUUGUUGGCAAUCUGAUUAUUUAUCUAGUAUGUUAGAAAGGUUUUUUAAAAACUUCAACUUAUAUAGGGCUGAAAUUUUUACAAAUGAAAUAAAUAACUUCAGCAUCUUCUGCUAAAGUUUUUGAAAAAGCUGUAUUUGUGGAUGGGAAAAAAUCAGGAAGCUCAAUGGUUUUUGCAGGUUCUCUUCUCACGUUGAGCACAAAAGAGAUAAAUUAUACUGUAUUAGGAGUGAAAUUCCAAAGAGAAAUCAGGAAGCAAGACCAAAGAGAGGGAAAACCGAGAAUGAAGAAAUAUGAGCACACUCGGGGCCUCAGGUAAGUGAUAAGAUUAUACGGUGGGAAAAGGAUGCGGUGGUUGAGAAAGAAAUCAAGAAAGCUACACUUAGUAUUUGUGGAUGGGAAAACAUGCAGGUAUAGAAGUUGAUGCUAAAUGAUUGAAUUACCCUCAAGCUUUUUUAAAAUUACACUAAGCAGACAUGUCGAAACAUGUUGCUCUUCUAUUACAUAGAAGAAAUGAAGCUAUUGCUCUAUGAAAAUAUCAAAUAAGGUUGACUAUAAAGAGUUUUGCAAAAAUUAAAGAAUAAGUGUGAUUAAACUUCUAAAAUUUUGAGAUUAUGAUGUUUUGAUGUACGUCGACUCAUUGAGAUUUAUACUUCUGCAACUACUAAAUUAUAUGAGAUAUUCACUGCACUUUCAUAAAUGCCCAAAGUAUCAUCACAACUUUUCUAGGUUGUGAUCAAUUUUGAAAAAAAUUCUUAAUUAAAACCAAGAGGUUUGAUAUAGAAAACAAACAAGUUUUCACGAUACCAAAUUGCUAUAUUUCAAGGAAAAUAAAUCAAUUUUAACUUCAUUCUGAGCAAUCACACGUUUUUUUGUCCUAAAUGCAAUUUAAUUAAUUCGACCAUUUAUUCAUGAAACACUACUUACCAUAAUUAGAAUCUUAGUUUAAACAUGUUUUUUUUCAAAAAGAUUUGAAACAAAAAAAAAUUAAUACUUUCCCUUGUCUAAUUUGUUGAAUCGAGCUAUCUAUGUUGUGCAACAUGGGCCUAAAAUUUUUAAGGAUUUCUAUUGGGCUUUUUUCACUUUUAGUAGUAAAAAUUGCACGGGGCACCCUAUUUGGUCACUUCAUUUAACCUAUACCCAUUUUUAUAAAAGGUUUUAAUUUGUACCCACUUUUUAAACAACUUCAGCUCUUUUUUCUCCUCCUCCUUCUCUUCCUUCGUUUUCUUCUUCUUCUUCUUCUUCUUCUUCUUCUUCUUCUU
rnacentral:lncRNA from 1 species